rnacentral:sRNA from 1 species
UUCCCAGAGGCCGGGAUCCGGAGCGCCCGAAGCCGGUGCCGCAGCCCCCUGCGCCCCCGACAUGUCCUUCCGCAAAGUGGUCCGGCAGAGCAAAUUCCGGCAUGUGUUCGGGCAGCCGGUCAAGAACGACCAGUGCUAUGAGGACAUUCGCGUGUCCCGUGUUACCUGGGACAGCACCUUCUGCGCCGUCAACCCCAAGUUCCUGGCGGUGAUUGUGGAGGCCAGUGGAGGGGGUGCCUUUCUGGUGCUCCCCCUAAGCAAGACGGGCCGCAUUGACAAGGCCUACCCGACGGUGUGUGGGCACACAGGACCUGUCCUGGACAUCGAUUGGUGUCCUCACAACGACGAAGUCAUAGCCAGUGGCUCGGAGGACUGCACGGUCAUGGUGUGGCAGAUCCCAGAGAACGGGCUGACCUCCCCGCUGACAGAGCCGGUGGUGGUACUGGAGGGGCACACCAAGCGAGUGGGCAUCAUCACCUGGCACCCCACGGCCCGAAACGUGCUGCUCAGUGCAGGCUGCGACAACGUGGUACUCAUCUGGAAUGUGGGCACAGCGGAGGAGCUGUACCGCCUGGACAGCCUGCACCCUGACCUCAUCUACAAUGUCAGCUGGAACCACAGUGGCAGCCUGUUUUGCUCAGCAUGCAAGGACAAGAGUGUGCGCAUCAUCGACCCCCGUCGGGGCACCCUGGUGGCAGAGCGGGAGAAGGCUCAUGAGGGGGCCCGGCCCAUGCGGGCCAUCUUCCUGGCAGAUGGCAAGGUGUUCACCACAGGCUUCAGCCGAAUGAGCGAGCGGCAGCUGGCACUCUGGGACCCAGUGAGUGGCCAGCCUGAGGGGGCAAACUUGAGACUUGGGCCCCACCCUGGUCCAGGCAGGCAGGGUUCACCCUGGGGAGGCCUGUGGUUCCUAGCUUCUCUGCCUGGAACUUGAGGCUCUCAGGGCCUGGGACUCUGUCAGACUUUCCUCUCCUGCCCCCUGCUCGCCCGACUGCCCCACCACUCCCCCAUGGCCUCCCACUGCCUCCGUGUCUUUGCCCAUGUUGUUCAUGCCAACGGAAGGGCCCUUCUCUCCCUUGCUUGCCUGUACCACCCACUGCCUGCACAGGGCUCCCUGCUCCUCCAGAAAGCCUCCUCCUCCAGCAAGCCUCCUG